AUGAAAGCAUAUACAUUAUGAAAAACAAGAAAACCGUCUUCAUAGAGACCAACCAAUUGGGUAACUGACAAAGAAUCCUAACCCUCAUCCUUUCCCGCCAAGGCUUUAGCUCCUCCCCAACGGCUGAAAGUUUGUUGCAUAGAUCUUUGAUCAGUCCACCCUAUAACGCUCUACCCCACUGUCUGUCUCUGACCUCUGCCAGGUUGUCUGGGCUGGAAUCCUGCAUCCUGCAUCCCUGGUCUCAGCUGGAAGAGAUGACUUGAAGACUAUGGAGAUGCACAGGGACCAAGAGCAACAGUGCUGGUUCCACCUGACUCAGGAUGGGGAAACUAAGGAACAGAGAAUUCAUGGUGCUUGCAAACAUAGUCCAUAUGCAUGACCACUACACUCUGGUGCCACUCUGGAGAGCUACCACCGUAUGAACAGUGUGAUCUGGGUGUUCUGAGGAGUGACAAUAACUAUGCUUGUGAGCAUUAUUCACAAUAGCCAAGACGUGGAAGCAACACAAGUGCCCAACAA